rnacentral:rRNA from 1 species
UGAGUAACGCGUGGGUAACCUGCCCUUAAGUCUGGGAUACCAUUUGGAAACAGAUGCUAAUACCGGAUAAAAGCUACUUUCGCAUGAAAGAAGUUUAAAAGGCGGCGUAAGCUGUCGCUAAAGGAUGGACCUGCGAUGCAUUAGCUAGUUGGUAAGGUAACGGCUUACCAAGGCGAUGAUGCAUAGCCGAGUUGAGAGACUGAUCGGCCACAUUGGGACUGAGACACGGCCCAAACUCCUACGGGAGGCAGCAGAA